CCAGUGGAGUCCAGGGUGAACAUUUUCAUUAACAGCUUUGGGUCCAUCCAGGAAACUACUAUGGACUACAGAGUGAACAUAUUUCUUCGUCAGAGAUGGAAUGACCCUCGCCUGCGACUUCCCACAGACUUUAAGAACGACGCACUGACUAUUGACCCCAACAUGUUCCAGUGUUUGUGGAAACCAGACCUUUUCUUUGCCAAUGAGAAAAACGCAAACUUUCACGAUGUCACCCAGGACAACAUUCUCCUCUUCAUAUUUAGGAAUGGAGAUGUAUUAAUCAGUAUGAGGCUGUCCGUGACGCUGUCCUGUCCUUGG